rnacentral:rRNA from 1 species
GAUGAACGCUGGCGGCGUGCCUAAUACAUGCAAGUCGAGCGAACGGACGAGAAGCUUGCUUCUCUGAUGUUAGCGGCGGACGGGUGAGUAACACGUGGAUAACCUACCUAUAAGACUGGGAUAACUUCGGGAAACCGUAGCUAAUACCGGAUAAUAUUUUGAACCGCUUGGUUCAAAAGUGAAAGACGGUCUUGCUGUCACUUAUAGAUGGAUCCGCGCUGCAUUAGCUAGUUGGUAAGGUAACGGCUUACCAAGGCAACGAUGCAUAGCCGACCUGAGAGGGUGAUCGGCCACACUGGAACUGAGACACGGUCCAGACUCCUACGGGAGGCAGCAGUAGGGAAACUUCCGCAAUGGGCGAAAGCCUGACGGAGCAACGCCGCGUGGGUGAUGAAGGUCUUCGGAUCGUAAAACUCUGUUAUUAGGGAAGAACAUAUGUGUAAGUAACUGUGCACAUCUUGACGGUACCUAAUCAGAAAGCCACGGCUAACUACGUG